AUGGUUAAAGUCUAUCCUAACGAGUCAAAAUUUGUGUGUAAUGAUGAUAACUGAUGAUCACACAUGUCUAUCAGCACACUAUAACUAAUUUACAAAACUAUUAGUCAAUUAUUUAUUUCAAACACCCACCUCAAAAUUGAUUUUCAUGACCAAAAUAAUUGACUAUCAAUACAAUUCUGAAAUUGAAUCCGACAUGCCCCU
rnacentral:lncRNA from 1 species